rnacentral:rRNA from 1 species
AUUGAACGCUGGCGGCAGGCCUAACACAUGCAAGUCGAGCGCGAAAAUUUCUUCGGGAAUGAGUAGAGCGGCGGACGGGUGAGUAACGCGUAGGAAUCUGCCCGGUAGUGGGGGACAACAGUCGGAAACGACUGCUAAUACCGCAUACGCCCUAAGGGGGAAAGCAGGGGAUCUUCGGACCUUGCGCUAUCGGAUGAGCCUGCGUCGGAUUAGCUUGUUGGUGGGGUAAUGGCCUACCAAGGCGACGAUCCGUAGCUGGUCUGAGAGGAUGAUCAGCCACACUGGGACUGAGACACGGCCCAGACUCCUACGGGAGGCAGCAGUGGGGAAUAUUGGACAAUGGGGGAAACCCUGAUCCAGCCAUGCCGCGUGUGUGAAGAAGGCCUCGGUGUUAA